AGUGAACGCUGGCGGUAGGCCUAACACAUGCAAGUCGAACGGCAGCACAGCAGUAGCAAUACUGUGGGUGGCGAGUGGCGGACGGGUGAGGAAUACAUCGGAAUCUACCUUUUCGUGGGGGAUAACGUAGGGAAACUUACGCUAAUACCGCAUAAGACCUUCGGUGAAAGUGGGGGACCGUUCGGGCCGUCACGCGGAUA
rnacentral:rRNA from 1 species